GCGGACUGAGUGCAGCGGAGCGCCGCGAAAAAAGUUAAGAGUUUACCGUGUGUGUGUCGGACAUGAAGAGCGCGUGAAGCUGCGGACUGAGCGCGAGACCUUCAGGACGACCACCUGCGCCGGAGUGUCAGAUCAUCCUCAUUGGCUGAAAACCAGCUGGAGGCGGAGUCAGAGUGACAGGGCCGUGUAGUGGGAGGGACUUCCUCUGAGCGAGAGGACAAGAUGCUGCUGACUUCCUGCUCCGCCCCCUACAGCUACACCUGGCUCUUGUGCCUCCUGAUGAUCCUGACAGCUCCUCGUCCAGCAGCUCUCGGGGGUGACGAGACGGAGCCGUGCGCCGGUCGCGACUGUUCCAACUGUCAGUGUUUUCCAGCCAAAGGAGCGAGGGUAAGAUCCCA
rnacentral:lncRNA from 1 species